rnacentral:rRNA from 1 species
AACGAACGCUGGCGGCAGGCUUAACACAUGCAAGUCGAACGCACCGCAAGGUGAGUGACAGACGGGUGAGUAACGCGUGGGAACGUGCCCUUCAGUUCGGAAUAACCCAGGGAAACUUGGGCUAAUACCGGAUACGUGCGAGAGCAGAAAGAUUUAUCGCUGAAGGAUCGGCCCGCGUCUGAUUAGCUAGUUGGUGGGGUAAUGGCCCACCAAGGCGACGAUCAGUAGCNGGUCUGAGAGGAUGAUCAGCCACAUUGGGACUGAGACACGGCCCAAAACUCCUACGGGAGGCAGCAGGUGGGGAAUAUUGGACAAUGGGCGCAAGCCUGAUCCAGCCAUGCCGCGUGAGUGAUGAAGGCCUUAGGGUUGUAAAGCUCUUUCGGCGGGGACGAU